AUGCCUGCGCUCGCCGUGGACGCCGCGGCCCCCGUGGCCCACCCCUUCGCCGCGUCCUGCGACGCGUCGCCGCGCUUCGUCGCCGCGCCGCUGAUGCUGGGCCCCGCCGCCGUCGUCGCCGCGGCCGCCGCCGAGAAGCCCGAGGUGGCCGCCUGGUCGGCCGACCUCUCGUCGGCGCUCUACAACGUGGACGGCUGGGGCGCGCCCUACUUCUUCGUCAACGACGACGGCGACGUCGCGGUGCGCCCGCACGGCGCCGCCACGCUGCCCGGCCAGGAGAUCGACCUCGCCAAGGUGGUCGCCCGGGCCGCCGGCGCGCGCGCCGGCGGCGGGCUCGGCCUCGCGCUGCCGCUGCUCGUGCGCUUCCCCGACGUGCUCCGCCACCGCGUCGAGACCCUCAACGCCGCCUUCGGCUACGCCGUGCGCUCCACGGGCUACGCCGGGCGGUACCAGGGCGUCUACCCCGUCAAGUGCAACCAGGACCGGUACGUGGUGGAGGACAUCGUCGAGUUCGGCGCGCCCUUCGGGUUCGGCCUCGAGGCCGGCUCCAAGCCCGAGCUGCUGCUCACCAUGAGCUGCCUCGUCGCCCGCGGCAGCCCCGACGCCCUGCUCAUCUGCAACGGCUACAAGGACCUCGAGUACGUCUCGCUCGCGCUCAUCGCCCGCACCAUGGGCCUCAACACCGUCAUCGUGCUCGAGCAGGAGGAGGAGCUCGACAUUGUCGUCGAGGCCAGCCGCCGCCUCAACAUCCGCCCGGUGGUCGGCAUGCGCGCAAAGCUGCGCACCAAGCACGCCGGCCACUUCGGCGCCACCUCCGGCGAGAAGGGCAAGUUCGGCCUCAACGCCGCGCAGAUUCUCUCCGUGGUGGCCAAGCUCAAGGCCCUCGCCAUGCUCGACUGCCUCCAGCUCCUGCACUUCCACAUUGGCUCCCAGAUCCCCACCACGGCUCUGCUCGCCGACGGGGUCGGCGAGGCCGCGCAGAUCUACUGCGAGCUCGCCCGCCUCGGCGCGGCCAUGCGCGUCAUUGACGUCGGCGGCGGCCUCGGCAUCGACUACGACGGGACGCACUCGGCGCAGACCGACAUGUCGGUGGCCUACAGCCUGGAGGAGUACGCGGCGGCCGUGGUCGCCGCCGUCGGCCGCGUCUGCGACCGCAAGGGCGUGCAGCACCCUGUCAUCUGCAGCGAGAGCGGCCGCGCGCUGGUGUCGCACCACUCGGUCCUCAUCUUCGAGGCCUUCUCCGCGACGGCGCCGGCUUCCAACAUGAUGGACCCGGCGACCGCCUACCUGCUCGAUGAGCUCACCGACGACUGCCGCAGCGACUACCGCAACCUCAUGGCCUCGGCCGUGCGCGGCGACUUCGACACCUGCGGCCUGUACGCGGACCAGCUGAAGCGGCGCUGCGCCGAGCAGUUCAAGGAGGGUGUCCUCGGGCUGGAGCACCUCGCCGCCGUGGACGGGCUGUGCGAGAUCGUCGCCCGCGGCAUGGGCGCGGCGGAGGGGCCGCGCAGGUACCACAUCAACCUGUCGGUGUUCACCUCGCUGCCGGACAUGUGGGCCAUCGAGCAGCUCUUCCCCAUCAUCCCCAUCCAGCGGCUCCAGGAGCGGCCCGCCGUGGACGGCGUGCUCUCGGACCUGACCUGCGACAGCGACGGCAAGGUGGACCAGUUCAUCGGCGGCAGGAGCAGCCUCCCUCUGCACGAGCUCCCGACCCACGGCACCCGCGGCUACUACCUGGGCAUGUUCCUGGGCGGCGCCUACCAGGAGGCGCUGGGCGGCCUGCACAACCUGUUCGGCGGGCCGAGCGUGGUGCGCGUCUCCCAGAGCGACGGGCCGCACUGCUUCGCGGUGACGCGCGCCGCGCCGGGCCCGUCCUGCGCCGACGUGCUCCGCGCCAUGCAGCACGAGCCGGAGGUGAUGUUCGAGGUGCUCAAGCAGAGGACCGCCGACGACGGCGCCACCGCCGCGGCCCUCGCCAGGGCGUUCGGGUCAAUGCCGUACCUGUCGUUCGACGCCGAGGAGGCCUCGGCCAUGAGCGGCGCGGAGUCGAGCGGCAUGAGCAGCGACUCGGAGGGGUCGGCGGCGGGCGCCGCCGAGGAUGAUGACGAGGAGUGGGAGUUCAUGCGCGGGCUCACCGUGUGA
rnacentral:rRNA from 1 species